AUUGAACGCUGGCGGCAGGCCUAACACAUGCCAGUCGAACGGUAACAGGAAGCAGCUUGCUGCUUCGCUGACGAGUGGCGGACGGGUGAGUAAUGUCUGGGAAGCUGCCUGAUGGAGGGGGAUAACUACUGGAAACGGUAGCUAAUACCGCAUAAUGUCGCAAGACCAAAGAGGGGGACCUUCGGGCCUCUUGCCAUCGGAUGUGCCCAGAUGGGAUUAGCUUGUUGGUGGGGUAACGGCUCACCAAGGCGACGAUCCCUAGCUGGUCUGAGAGGAUGACCAGCCACACUGGAACUGAGACACGGUCCAGACUCCUACGGGAGGCAGCAGUGGGGAAUAUUGCACAAUGGGCGCAAGCCUGAUGCAGCCAUGCCGCGUGAAUGAAGAAGGCCUUCGGGUUGUAAAGUACUUUCAGCGGGGAGGAAGGGAGUAAAGUUAAUACCUUUGCUCAUUGACGUUACCCGCAGAAGAAGCACCGGCUAACUCCGUG
rnacentral:rRNA from 1 species